rnacentral:rRNA from 1 species
UAACGUCCCAGUUCGGAUUGUAGUCUGCAACCCGACUACAUGAAGCUGGAAUCGCUAGUAAUCGCGGAUCAGAAUGCCGCGGUGAAUACGUUCCCGGGUCUUGUACACACCGCCCGUCACACCAUGGGAGUCGGAAAUGCCCGAAGUCGGUGACCUAACUGAAAGGAAGGAGCCGCCGAAGGCAGGUCUGGUGACUGGGGUGAAGUCGUAACAAGGUAGC